rnacentral:misc_RNA from 1 species
GAAAUGCGAUAAGUAAUGUGAAUUGCAGAAUUCCGUGAAUCAUCAAAUCUUUGAACGCACAUUGCGCUUUCUGGUAUUCCGGAGAGCAUAUCUGUUUGAGAAUCAGUUUAAACCUCAAAAAAUUUAUUUUUUGGAUUUGAAAGUUUUAAAGAUAAUUUUAUUAUUUUUAAACUUUUUAAAUUAAACUUGGUGAUGGUUCUUUUUAUUUAAAAGACUAUUUUAAACUUUUUAAACCGAAAGCGUGAUUUACUGGAGUUUAUUUUUAAACUCUUUUGAUUAUCUAGCUGAUAAAGUUUAAAAGGAAAUAAUCUUUAAAUGAUUGAAUAAUUUAAACAACAUCAAUAUAAAACUCAAUACAAAGAUUUUUUUUUAACAAAAAAAUCUUUAAGACUUGAUCUCA